rnacentral:lncRNA from 1 species
AAUCCGCCAACUACCGCGCCGCCUCCGACCACGGCCUCCCCGCCGCCGGUUCCCGUAGCUCCUCGUCCGUCGACGCCUUCUACUCCGGGAACCCCACCCCCAACCACCAGCCCAUCGCCGCCUGCCCCAACCGUUCCAUCUGGAUCCCCUCCGUCGCCGCCAGCCCCCGCCGGCGGAGGUUCUCCCUCUCCACCUACUAGGGGAACCCCGCCGGCGCCGCCGACCAGGACUGGGUCUCCUCCUGGCUCGUCGGGGUCGCCUCCGUCGGCGCCGGCUUCUAAUGACUCGGGGAUAUCGACGGGGAUGGUGGUUGGGAUUGCUGUGGGAGGCGUUGCUUUGCUAGUGAUUCUGAGUUUGAUGUUUAUAUGCUGCAAGAAGAAGAAGAGAAGACAGCAACCUGAUUAUUACAUACCUCCACCGCCUCCUGGCUAUAAAGGUGAUAAAUACAUGCAUCAACUCUCCCCA